UACGUAGGGUGCGAGCGUUAAUCGGAAUUACUGGGCGUAAAGCGUGCGCAGGCGGUUGUGCAAAACAGAUGUGAAAUCCCCGGGCUUAACCUGGGAAUUGCAUUUGUGACUGCACGGCUAGAGUGUGUCAGAGGGGGGUAGAAUUCCACGUGUAGCAGUGAAAUGCGUAGAGAUGUGGAGGAAUACCGAUGGCGAAGGCAGCCCCCUGGGAUAACACUGACGCUCAUGCACGAAAGCGUGGGGAGCAAACAGG
rnacentral:rRNA from 1 species